rnacentral:rRNA from 1 species
UACGUAGGGUGCAAGCGUUAUCCGGAAUUAUUGGGCGUAAAGAGCUCGUAGGCGGUUUGUCGCGUCUGCUGUGAAAACUGGAGGCUCAACCUCCAGCCUGCAGUGGGUACGGGCAAACUAGAGUGCGGUAGGGGAGAUUGGAAUUCCUGGUGUAGCGGUGGAAUGCGCAGAUAUCAGGAGGAACACCGGUGGCGAAGGCGGGAUCCUGGGCCAGUACUGACGCUGAGGAGCGAAAGCGUGGGGAGCAAACAGG